GCGCCCAUCGUCUAGCGGUUAGGACGCCGCCCUCUCACGGCGGCAACACGGGUUCGAGUCCCGUUGGGCGUG
rnacentral:tRNA from 1 species